rnacentral:rRNA from 1 species
GACAGAGGGGGCAAGCGUUGCUCGGAAUUACUGGGCGUAAAGGGCGCGUAGGCGGGUCCUUAAGUCAGGGGUGAAAUCCCGGAGCUCAACUCCGGAACUGCCUUUGAUACUGGGGAUCUUGAGUCCGGAAGAGGUGAGUGGAACUCCGAGUGUAGAGGUGAAAUUCGUAGAUAUUCGGAAGAACACCAGUGGCGAAGGCGGCUCACUGGUCCGGUACUGACGCUGAGGUGCGAAAGCGUGGGGAGCAAACAGG